GAGGUCCUACGGGACGCAGCAGUGGGGGAUAUUGCACAAUGGGGGGAACCCUGAUGCAGCGACGCUGCGUGGGCGAUGGAGUGCUUCGGCAUGUAAAGCCCUAUCAGCAGGGAAGAAAAUGACGGUACCUGAGUAAGAAGCCCCGGCUAACUACGUGCCAGCAGCCGCGGUAAUACGUAGGGGGCAAGCGUUAUCCGGAAUUACUGGGUGUAAAGGGAGCGUAGACGGUAAUGCAAGUCUGGAGUGAAAGGCGGGGGCCCAACCCCCGGACUGCUCUGGAAACUGUGUAACUGGAGUGCAGGAGG
rnacentral:rRNA from 1 species